rnacentral:lncRNA from 1 species
CCAGGGCCGGCGUGAGCUCCUAUGGGACCCCCGUGUCGCUUGGGGGGCACCCAGGACCGGCGUGAGCUCUUGUGGGACCCCCGUGUCGCUUGGGGGGCACCCAAGACCGGCCUGAGCUCCCACGGGACCCCUGUGUCGCUUAGGGGGCACCCAGGACCGGCGUGAGCACGUAUGGGACCCCCGUGUCGCUUAGGGGGUGCCCAAUGCCAACGGGAGCUCUUACGGGACCCCCGUGUCGCUUGAGGAGCACCUAAAGCUGGACGGAGCUCCUAUGGGACCCACAUAUCACUUGGGGGGCACCCAAAGCCGGCAUGAGCUCCUGUGGGACCCUCAUGUUGUUUGGGGGGCACCUAAAGCUGGACUGAGCUCCUAUGGGACCCCUAUGUCGUUUGGGGGGCACCUAAAACCGAUGUGACCUCCUGUGGGUCCACCGUGUUGUGUGGGGGACACCCAGGACCAUCAUGAGCUCCUAUGGGACCCCCAGAUCUUCUCAAGGGGCACCCAGGACUGGCGUGAACUCUUGUGGGACUCCCACGUCGCUUGGGGGGCGCCCAGGACCGGCGUGAGCUCUUGUGGGACCCCCAUGUCACUUGGGGGGGUGCCCCGAACCGGCGUGAGCUCCUGUGGGACCUAGGGGUGGCCCGAUGCCACCGUGAGCUCCUGUGGGACCUCCACAUCUUUUCGGGGGCACCCAAUGCCGACACGAGCACGUAUGGGACCCCCGUGUCACUUGGGGGGCUCCCAACGCCAGCGGGAGCUCCUGUGGGACCCCCGAACCUCCUUGGGGGCACCCCAGACCGGCGUGAGUUCUUAUGGGACCUCCGUGUCGCUUAGGGGGCACCCAAGACCAGCGUGAGCUCCUAUGGGAACCCCAGAUCUUCUCAGGAGGCCCCCAGUGCCAGCAUGAGCAUUUAUGGGACCUCCGCGUCACUUAGGGGGCACCCAAGCCCGGCGUGAGCUCCUAGGGGCCCCCAGAUCGGGGCUGGGGGCCCCCAGUGCCGACACGAGCACCUAUGGGGCUCCUGUGUCACUUAGGGGGCACCCAAGCGCCUGUGGGACCCCCACAUUUACAUCGGGGGCGACCGACGCCAGCACCGACUCGGGGACCUGUGGGAUCCCUCGACGUCUCCCUCGGGGGACACCAGGCCCCUGCUCAGGGUCCUCCAAGACCUCCCGCGUCUCCCCUGGGGUCACCUGCCACCGGCUCAAGGACUUGUGGGACCCGCUGUGUCCCCCCCUGACACCCCGUGCCACCUCAGAGGCCUUUGGGACCCACAGCGUCUUCUUUGGGGGCACCCAGCACCAGUUCAAGCGCCUCCAAGACCCCCAACGUCCUUCUGGGAUGCCCAGCUGCGCCCCGUGGACCUCUGGGACCCUCGUGUCCCCCCAAGGGCAUCUGGCACUGACUCGGGGACCUCUGCGACCCCCAGCGACCUCCCCCCGGGGGCACCCAAGACCAAAGAUCUGCAGGACCCCCCAACAUCUCUUUUGGGGGCAACUGCCACCAAACCAAGGACCUCUGGAACCCCCAUGUUCCCCUUGGGGACACCCAGCUGCACCCCAUGGACCUCUGGGACCCCCAUGUCCCCAUUGGGGACACCCAGCACCCACUUAGGGACCUCUAGGUCCCCCCAACAUCUGCUUUGGGGGCACCCACCACCAAAUCAAGGAGCUCCGGGACCCCCGCGUCCUUCUGAGGACACCUGGCACCAGCGCAGGGACCUCUGGGAGCCUCCAGCAUCUUCUUUGGGGGCGCUUGCCACCAAACCAAGGAGCUCUGGGACCCCCACAUCCCCCCUUGGGGACACCCAGCUGCACCCCAUGGACCUCCGGGACCCCCAUGUUCCCCUGGGAGCAUCCGGCACCAACUCGGGGACCGCCAGGACUCCCCCCCCAACAUCUGCUUUGGGGGGCACCUGCCCGCCGAAUCAAGGUCCUCCAGCACCCCAACGCCCCCCCCCCGCGGNNNNNNNNNNNNNNNNNNNNNNGUUUCCCCACAUCCUCCUGGGGGCACCCGGCACCGAAUCAAGGACCUCUGGGACCCUCCCAAGUCCCUCUAUGGGGGCAGCUGCCAGCAAAUCAAGGACUUCUGGGACCCCCACGUCCUACCUGGGGGCACCUGGCACCCGCUUAGGGACCUCUGGGAGCCCUAUGUCUCCUUGAGGACACCCAGCAGCACCCCAUGGACCUUUGGGAUCCCCAAAGUCCCCCCGGGGGCACCCACCACCACCAAAUCGAGGACCUCUGGGACCCCCACAUCCUACCUGGGGGCACCUGGCACCUACUUAAGAGAUCUCUGGGACCCCCCCCAACAUCCCCUCGUGGGCACCCACCACCAAAUUAAGGACCUCGGGGUCCCCCACGUCCUACCAGGCUGCACCCACUGCCAAAUCGAGGAGCUCCAGGACCCCCACGUCCUACCCAGGGGCACCCACCACCAAAUCAAGGACUUCUGGGACCCCCGCAUCCUACCCGGGGGCACCCACCACCAAAUCGAGGACCUCUAGGACCCCUGUGUCUCCUUGGGGAGACCCAUCAGCACCCCUUGGAGCUCUGGGUCCCCCACGUCCUACCUGGGGGCACCCGCUACCAAGUCAAGGACCUUUGGGACCCCU